CCUACGGGUGGCAGCAGUGGGGAAUAUUGCACAAUGGGGGAAACCCUGAUGCAGCGACGCCGCGUGAGUGAAGAAGUAAUUCGUUAUGUAAAGCUCUAUCAGCAGGGAAGAAAAUGACGGUACCUGAGUAAGAAGCCCCGGCUAAUUACGUGCCAGCAGCCACGGUAUUACUGAGGGGGCAAGCGUUAUCCGGUUUUACUGGUGGUAAGGGGAGCGUAGACGGCAGUGCAAGUCUGGAGUGAAAGGCGGGGGCUCAACCCCCGGACUGCACUGGAAACUGUACGGCUGGAGUGCAGGAGGGGUAAGUGGAAUUCCUAGUGUAGCGGUGAAAUGCGUAGAUAUUAGGAGGAACACCAGUGGCGAAGGCGGCUUACUGGACUGGAACUGACGUUGAGGCUCGAAAGCGUGGGGAGCAAACAGGAUUAGAUACCCUUGUAGUC
rnacentral:rRNA from 1 species